GUAAUUUGUACAUUUUUCCUUUGAUGUGUACUCGCUGAUAAUGUCAGUAUCAGUGGACUGGCCGUGAUAUAAAAAUUAUUGGGUUAGUACGCAAAUGACAUGCGCGAAUGCAACGCGUAAGGAUCUACUUUCCCCUUUCAUUCACAAAAUUGCGCGUGAUUUUUAUCGCAGAAAUGCACGAGAAUUUUGGCGAAUGAAACACUUGACAUUGAUUAUAACUUUCACAAAGUUAGUUUAGCCUUUUUUGUUGUGAAAAUGUGAACAGAAAAUGCAUGAAAAAGCCGACAGACUUAAAAAAAAAAUGCGUUAUCUAUAACUGAUAUAUGAAGUACAACUAACAUAUCGUCCCUCGAGUUUUUAUUCACACAAUACCUGGUGCUGUUCCAAGUAGUUUUCUUUUUCUAUUUUUUGAGAAGUAUUUGUUUUACCUGUUCAGUCACUAUAAAGUGUUACAAUUCAUAUUUAGACGCAACACAUAAAUAGUGACCAAAAAGGUACCGCUAUCGCAUUAGAGAAGCUAGAAAAAAAUAAAAUUUACACAUUUUCGACAUUUUUGUGGGAAUGUGGGACCAUCAUAUACAAUUUUAAAAGAUGUGGUUUCAUUGUCAAUUUAAAGACAGAUAUUCAUAGAACAAAGAACAAAAAGUGAACUUAUUCAUAUGCGGAUCUAGGAUAAAUUUUAAAAAGGGGGUAUAAACCGGGGCACCAUCUAUUAAAAUGUUUGAAAUAAUUAUGAAGUAGACAAUACAACUGAUAAAUGAGCUUGUUCAGAUAAUUUACAAAUUACAGUCAGCUUUAAGUAAAAUAUAAUUAUAACUUGACGUCGUUGAACUUAAAAAUGACGAUCGGUGAAAAAUCUGCUGAUUCAUAUCGUAUCAUUCUAAUGUUCUUACUAUGCUCGAGGGGGGAUAGGACCUUAAUCGAAGAGAAGCUCUACUGUGAUAGUCGACUUUGGUAUGUUUUUAACCCAUAUUGAUAGGAUUUCAAACUCCUGUGAUUUAAAUUCGGGACCUCGUGAUUUCGUGUUUUUAAACCCUGGAUUUCGGAAUCAGGACCCUCCUAUCCCCCUCUAUGAUGAUGCUUUGUGAAAAAUAAAGAAAUCUGACUUACCGGUAUGCUACCAUUAUAUUUGCCAUUGUUAGAGUCAUGUCCAAAGCAGAAUAUAAAUGAAACACAUGCAAUAAUUCCUUUUCAACACUUUGUGCAAGAGAACGCCAUGUUUACUGCACUGUGACAAAAUUUCAAAUGACGUAAUGCAGCCUGUGACGUCAAGUGUGAUUCGCCGUGAUUCGACGCGAAAAAGAAGUUCGUUUGUUAUUUUCUCUAGUAUUGUAGUAAUUAUUAUUUUUUUUUUGAAUUACCGAUAAACAGAAUAAAGGACUUUUUGUUUUUGAUACUGACUUUAUCACAGAAAAUAUCAGGC
rnacentral:lncRNA from 1 species